UCCAACUUGCAGUCCGCCAUAUUUGUGUGACAUUGGAGGUUUUUUUUUGGCGAAAUUGCAAUUUGUGCAAUUUUUUAGUAUUUUAUCUGUGUUAGACAUCCUGAAAGUUUACCAUUCAACACGAGGCACCUGCAGUGGUGUUUCACCUGUCCAGCUGCAUCUCAAUCACCAAUCUGUACCGGCAUUUGCGCUUGGGAAAGUGAAGGCAAAAGUUUGACAGUGCGUUUGGGGGGUUUUUCGGGCAGUCUCUUUGUUUUGUGAGCGGCUUGGGCAUAAAUUCCUGGUGUCUGUCUGAACCAUGGGUAAAGUGUGGGUGUGAAUAUCCCAGUGAGAUUGAUUGCUUUAAAGUGACUUCCGACAUGAACUCCAUCCCCUCGACGGCGCCCACUUCGGCGGACGCUUGCCUCAGUAUUGUGCACUCCCUCAUGUGCCACCGGCAGGGGGGUGAAAGUGAGGGUUUUGCCAAAAGGGCCAUCGAGAGUUUGGUGAAGAAGCUCAAGGAGAAACGCGAUGAGCUGGAUUCCUUGAUAACAGCUAUCACGACAAAUGGGGCUCAUCCCAGUAAAUGCGUCACCAUCCAGCGCACACUGGACGGGAGACUGCAAGUGGCGGGGAGAAAAGGCUUCCCGCAUGUCAUCUAUGCGAGGAUCUGGCGAUGGCCGGAUCUGCAUAAGAAUGAGCUGAAGCACGUCAAGUACUGCCAGUACGCCUUUGACCUCAAAUGUGACUCAGUUUGUGUCAAUCCCUAUCACUAUGAGCGCGUUGUGUCACCUGGAAUUGACCUGAGUGGCCUGACACUGCAGUCUGGACCCAGUAGAAUUGUCAAAGAUGAGUACUCAGCUGGUGGAUUGGUCACAGGUACCAUGGAAAUGGAGGCAUUGGACACAGGAACAAUUCAGCAUCAUCCGCCACUGAAUAGUUCUUCUUACUCCAGCUACCAGCAAGCACCCCACACGAUGACUGUCCCUCCGGAUGCUGGGCUUCCUGCUACAGCCUGCAUCCAUCAAGGGCCACAGCAGCAGCCCAUAGUGUCCUUGGGGCAGAAUGUUAUGCCCUCUGCUGCUGCUACCCAGGACGCUCAAUCCCCCACGCAAAAUUACUACGCUGCUGCAGCUGCUGGACCUGCUUCCGGAACUCCAGCUGAACAGCCCCUGUCAGUGGAUCCGCAGACGCAGGCAGCAGCAGCCAGCAGCAUGACAAUCAUCCAGUCAUCAAAUGCCCAGGCAGUUCAUCCGCAGAAGAAUGGAUAUGUGGCAGGUGGAACAGGGACAGGGAGUGCUGGAACUCAGGCUGCAGCUGCAGCUGCUGGACAAGUGCAAUCGACACAGGCAUUCACAUCCACAGAAACCAUUCAAGGCACCUGGACAGGAUCCAGCACACUCACCUACACACAAUCCAUGCAGCCACCGGAUAUGAGGCAGAAUCAAUCAAUGUUCUGGUCCCAUGGGAACUCGCAUAUUCAGGGCGAGGUGUUUGGGCAUCAACGUCUCCUGUCCCGUCAGCCGGCGCCUGAGUACUGGUGCUCAGUGGCGUAUUUUGAGUUGGAUACGCAAGUGGGCGAGACGUACAAGGUGCCGUCAUCAAAGCCAAAUGUCAUUGUUGAUGGGUAUGUGGAUCCAUCUGGCGGCAAUCGGUUCUGCCUGGGAGCGCUGAGCAAUGUGCACAGGACUGAGCAGAGUGAGAGGGCUCGGUUGCACAUUGGGAAGGGUGUGCAGCUGGAUUUGCGCGGAGAAGGAGAUGUUUGGAUGCGCUGCCUCAGUGAUCACUCCGUCUUCGUGCAGAGCUACUACCUGGAUCGCGAGGCGGGCAGAACACCCGGAGAUGCCGUACACAAAAUCUACCCAGCAGCCUACAUCAAGGUCUUUGAUUUGCGCCAGUGCUACAGACAAAUGCAGUCUCUGGCGGCCAAUGCACAGGCGGCGGCUGCAGCUCAGGCGGCUGCUGUUGCAGGACUCCCUGGAUCUCAAAUCGGUGCCCCACCUAGAAGUGAGUAUGAAGGCCUUCCUUGUCCUUUUUCUCUAUAAAAUCCCAUUUAAAGAAAUACUCUUUGAUUUUAAAGAAAAAAAGAAUCUCUAAGCUUUCCAGUAGGGGAAUUCUGUAACGAUAUGACAAUGUCAUAUGACAAAUUUUCAUGGUAAAUUCGAGAACAGCACGACAUAAAAGCCCAGUGAAUUUACUCGACUUUGACUCGGAAUAGGAAAUCUCUAAUUUUAUCAAUAAUAUUUGCGGCAUACUUCAGGAAAAUUUCGUGCAAUCAAAAUUCACAUCCCUUUCUCAAACUAUUUCCAUUUGCCAUCCUAUUCUUUGGCACUCAAAAUUGGUUCGAACGAAAUUGAAUUUAUUGUGAUGUUCAAAGGAAGAAGAAGAAGAUUGCGAAAGAAAAGGAUAUGAAUUUCGAUUUCAUGAAACUUUCCUGAUCUAGAAGGUGUGCCGAAGAGCUAUAAAUAUUAAAUUUAAAUCUUUAUGGCUCCGGCACACAAUUUAAGAUCAGGAAAAUUUCAUGAAGUCAAAUUGGGAUCCUUUUCUUUCUCACAUAUGUCUGUCUCAUUCUUUCGCACUCUUCUUCUUUCUCUUAGAUCAGGAAAAUUUCAUGUAAUCGAAAUUAACAUCCUUUCCUUUCUUAAACGCUUUGCAUGUUUUUAUCCUCCUCUUUCACACUCUUCUUCUUCUUCUUUUUUUUCAACAUCAUAACAAAUUCAAUUUAGUUCAAUCUAAUUUCGUGACCGAAAAAGUGAGAUAGAUCUAUGCAAAUCUUUUGAGAAAGAAAAGGACGCGAAUUUUGAUUUCAUGAAUUUAUACUGAGCUGAAAGGUGUUCCAGUUUAAUUUUGUUCAGUUUUACAAUUUUUUUUAAAUAAAUUAACCAAUAUUUUUAAUAAAAAAAAUUUUUAAAAAAAAUUAAAAA